rnacentral:lncRNA from 1 species
AUCUAACACCGGUGAGUUCAUGAAGCGACAGAACCACCACUCACUAAUGAUCCAUUUCUUCAAGUCCAAGGCCUUGCAGAUGUUCCUGAGCCUGUCAGUCCUGCCAGCUGUAUUCUGUGUGACAAAUCCAAAUUUUUAACAUACCAGUGUGCUUUCCCCACCUUUCCUAUAUGGAUUGCUCAUUGUUCUCUCAUUCCUUGUGGCAGGCAAUUGCUCCUUGCCAGGCAGUGUUGGCUGCAAGUUAAAGAGUCACAGGUUUCCUGAAACUGUAUCACAGACCAUGAAGCUAAACAACACGUGCUGCACAAUAAGUCAUAAAGCAUGUGUGAAAAAUAGUUGACAGAGAAGCUGUCAUGGAAACCAGUGCUACCAGGGAACACACGCUCACAGAGCUCCCAUUAAAGGCUGCAACACUGAACUCAGACUCCAGCACUAAGGCAGAAUAUAUUAAAUUUACCCUCAUGCCCCAUUCAGUCUUUGCAGCAGGUUAGCUGAAAAGUGUAACCAUUUCAGCUAACAACACUGGAUGCUAGUUUGCAGUGAUUAAAUUACCAGAAAUCUUCCCAUAGAAAAGUUCUUUUCAUUUUGUGUACCUUGGAAACUGCUUUUUACUGUCUAGGCAACAACUCUUCUCCCAGAAACAAGUCUGCUUAGAAAAGACUACAUGCAUUUCCCAGGUUUGGGUCAUAUUCUACUUGAUUGACUCCCAGCUGCUCCCUGCAACAAUAACCUCUCUUUGAAAGCUGCUCUGUGAAGCAGGAAACCUCACCAGUAUUUGAGGCAACAUUACAACCAUAAGUCCCUCACUGUAGUAACAAUUUGCAAGAUAUCUGUUCUAAUGAUGGAAAGAAAAGGAGCCACACUGUCAGUACUCUGCUGAAGGCCUGCCUUGCUUCUCUUCUUUGCUGUGUGAUCAUGGAGACCACAUACAUGAAGAGAACCAGCCCUAUUGCAGGAGGCCACAGGAUCCGAGCCAUGGAGACCAAGAACACUCUACACUGGGUAGAACUCACCAGGGCAAUCUGUGGUUGGGCUGGCAGGUCAAGUAGCUACAAUCCUACCCUCAGGAAAGAGUAGGUGGCAGAAAAUAAAACACCACCGUAAAAGAGAUUGUCUCACACCCUUGCUUUUACACAGCUGCAAUCAAGGUAGGGUUGUGUAGGUUCCUCAGCUUGACUGUGUAUACUAUCAUGUGAAGUCCUGUCAAAACUGAGCUUUAUAGAAAGAAGGACGUGCCCCACAGCCAGCUUUCAGUGAUAGAAGCUUUUGCACCCUUUUGAAUAUUGUAUGAGAAAGAAAUAUGCCAGAGAAAAAUAAAACUGCCUUCAUUUUAGUGAAGCUUUUUUUCUUACGGCUACCACCCACUCAGCUUCAAAGAAAUAAACAUUGCGAAGUGGACACACAGCCUCCAGUGCCCAGACACUGAUGGGGUGCUCUGGGAUGCAUAAAACUUCCUGACAAAGAACAGCAGCACCAGCAAACGUGCAAGGUAAUAGCAAAAAUACACAGAGCUAAGCACUUGU